rnacentral:lncRNA from 1 species
AAACUGUGAAGAUGUUAUCAAGGAACAAAGGAAGGAUGCCGACUUAUCCCCUCAUGUCCUGCCCCAUGGCUGAGUAACUGCCCUAAUUACCCACUAAAUGCUGCCUGGAGCCCAUUUCAUCUUCUCUACCCGAACUCUUGCCAGUCAGAGAUUAUACCUUAGAGUCUGUUUACUCACAUUCCCAUUUCUCCGGUUAAAUUUUUUAAAAAGGGACUAUUCUUUGAAAUUAGAUUCAAGAAGCUUGAUCUAUAUUUGUUUGAUUGGAGCAGCGAGUAGAGCAAAGGAAGGGUGCCUCUAAAAUAUGUGUUAUGAUAGAGAAUUAAAGAAUUUUAUUUUUUUAUUUUUAUUUUUUAUUUUUUGUCUUUUUGCCUUUUCUAGGGCCACUCCCGCGGCAUAUGGAGGUUCCCAGGCUAGGGGUCUAACUGGAGCUGUAGCUGCCGACCUACGCCAGAGCCACAGCAGCUUGGGAUCCGAGCCGCGUCUGCGACCUACACCACAGCUCACGGCAACGCUGGAUCCUUAACCCACUGAGCGAGGCCAGGGAUCGAACCCACAACCUCAUGGUUCUUAGAUUCGUUAAGAAUCGACUAUCCACUGAGCCAUGAUGGGAACUCCAAGAAUUAAAGAAUUUUAGAAUUUUAUAGCUGGUAGGGAAUUCUUAAGGAACUCAGAAUGCUAAGAGAGUGUCAUAUCAAUAAAUAAUUAUAACACUUUAUGAGACGUGUUAAAACUGAAGCAUGAACACAAUGCUAUAGGGUCACUAAAUAGUGAAGAGCUAACUCUGCCUGGGCUGGGCAUUAUGGCAAAGCUUUCACAAAUAAGGUCAUUUUGGUGUUAGGUCUUGAUAGAUGACAAAGAGUUAUGAGAUGGGUUGCUCAUGUAUGUAGGGUGGUGUGAUAAAAGCUGAUGCCCAAGAAUAGGAAUUUAAGCAACACUGGCCACACUGCCUCAUUGAUUACACUUGAUCAGGGAACUUAUAAUAUUAAUGUUCAAACAAUUGGUGACAGUGGAAGAUUAACCUGAAGAAUACUGUCAGUGGGACGAUAGGUGAUGCCUGCUGGCACAAGGCGUGAAGGUGAAUUUCAGUGCACACACCUGAGUGGGCAAGAAAGGUUGUUUUCUUAAUUUUUUUUUUUUUUUUUGUCUUUUUUGUCUUUUGUUGUUGUUGCUAUUUCUUGGGCCGCUCCCGAGGCAUAUGGAGGUUCCCAGGCUAGGGGUCCAAUCGGAGCUGUAGCCACCGGCCUACGCCAGAGCCACAGCAACGCGGGAUCCGAGCCGCGUCUGCAACCUACACCACAGCUCACGGCAACACUGGAUCGUUAACCCACUGAGCAAGGGCAGGGACCGAACCCGCAACCUCAUGGUUCCCAGUCGGAUUCGUUAACCACUGCGCCACGACGGGAACUCCUGUUUUCUUAAUUUUACUAUAAUUUGUCAAUUUGUGUCAUACACUUCCAUUCUACAAGGAUGACAAAAGGUUGAUCGGCGAUUUUAAGAUUACCUCUUUACUUUGGAAUUGUACAGAGAGUUUGCAGGGCUGACCUAGUACAAAAAGUACCCAGACCCGCUCUGGGGCAUGUUCACAGGCUCUGUUAUAGCUGUUCCAUCACUUAUGCCCACGCUGUUUGGGGUCACUCCAGGCAACCUGUGCCGCAGAGGACUGGCCCUUCGUGCCGAGACAUACCAUAGUGUAUUGUCACUGGGGACUUUUAUCUCCCUGAGGCUUUACCCUGGAGAUGGACACAUCUCCCAGAUUCUUCACACGGAUUUGAGGGGCUUAUCUUCCAUGAGGAUUUGCUCAGAGUUAGGGAAGCCAUCUCCUCUGUUCCAUUUACUGUUGCUUCAUAAUCAAAUAGCUUAGGAGUUUCUGUUGUGGUUCAGUGGAUUAAGAAUCUGACAUGGUGUCCAUGAGGAUGCAGGUUCGAUCCUUGGCCUGGCUGAGUGGGUUAAGGAUACGGCAUUGCCACAAGCUGUGGUGUAGGUCACACAUGAGGCUUGGAUCUGGUGUUUCGGUGGCUGGAGCAUGGGCCUGCAGCUGCAGUUCCUAUUUGACCCCUAGCUCGGGAACUUCCAUAUGCUGCAGGUGUGGCUGUAAAAAAAAGAAAAAAAUUUUUACAAAAUUUAAAAUAAAUAAAUAAAUAAAUAAGCUUAAAAUAUAGCUGCUUAAACAGCUUUUUAUUAUCUUCCGGAAUUUGGUGGGUCAAGAGUUCAGACAGGGCACAGCAGGUGUGCUGGCUCUGCAUCAUGAUGUCUGGUCCUCAGCUGGGGAGUCUUAGUGGCUGUGGACUGGAAUCAUCAUCAUCCCUCAUGUCUGGAGCCUGGGGGUGGGGGGGAAUGACUUGAAGAUGAGAACUGCUGACGGGAGCUUCUACCAUGGCCUCUGUCUGUGGCUUGGCUUCCUCUGAGCAUGGCUGCCUCAGGGCAGUCAGAAUUCUUACAUGGCAGUUCCUGGCACCAAGAGCCACUGUUCUAGAAAAUGAGGCAGAAGCUGCAUCGCCUUUAUGGCCCAGUCUUUGAAGUCACAUUGGUCACUCUUGCCAAACCCUAUGAGUUAAAGAGAUCCAAAGGCCAUAGUGAUGAGAGGCGAGGGGUCCUAGACCUUUACCUUUCAAUGGGCAGGGAGUGUCAAAGGAUUUUGGAGCCAUGUUUUAAAGCAAUCCAACUUUUUCUUAGAGCUUAUCUACAAUGUUCAUUUCCCUUCCAACCUGAGCAUUUUGUUUGUCAUUAGUCUGAGCCCAAGGGUGGGGUGGGAAGUAAGGGAUGAGGAAUAUUUGCUCUGACUCAUAAUGUCUUCUCCAAAAUAUUUGAUCCACGCCAUGAGUCCUUUCCAUUCACUAAGAGCCUGAAUGUUUUGAAACUCAAAACCAGAAAGAGGCAGAAAGAACACUCUGCCUUUUGUUGUCACAGUCCUUCCCCAAGGUAGAAAGUUCUAUAGAUAAACCUAAAUACCAGAGCGGGUGGAGGACCAGAGGGAUAAAGGAAAUACUGUGAAGGGAAAAACCAGUUAAUAUUAGUACAUGAACUUUCUUUUAUAUAUUUAGUAUUUGAACGUUAUGCUACCAAAUAUGCAGCAAACUAAAACAAAUACACAAAAAGGUUUUGCUCUUCUCGAAUAAUUUCGCUAAACAAUAUAGCUAUUCUUAUUUGGAAUGGCCUCUUUCUAGGGGUACUAAUUCUCUCUCUCUCUCUCUAUUAUUAUUAUUAUUAUCAUUAUUUUUAGUUUUUCUACAAUUAAUUUUUUUUAAAUAUUAAAAAAUUUAAAUGUCCAAUUUAAUGGACCCAAUACCCUGGGAACAUUUCAGCAAUUUUAAGGCAUAGGAACCCCUACCUUUGAAAAUAGAUGUAUCGGAACCUAGAGGGCCAUCUCUCCUGCUAAUCUCACACCGUGUAUAAUCAAAUAGUUAGGCUUUUCAUUCUCUUCCCUACACAAGUAAGAGCUCUAAGCCUAUUUGGGAAAAAUGAGUUAUCCAAGGAUAAAAAUUCUUUGAAUUCCCCAUCAAAGCUCAUUGACAGACUAAGAAUACCACGUCAAGACCUCUUCUUAGGAUCUUUCAAGUCAGGGAGAAAAACCUCUUCAGAGAAAUAGGAUGUUAAUAUCUAUCGAUGUAGAUGUUGUUUGCAGUUGUGCAGGUGUUCAUUCCUGAUUUCCGCGCUCCUCGCUGGCCUGUGAUGUCUGCUUUAUGCCUGAUCUAUUUAUGAAUCAAUCACUGCGACUAGAGAGUUUGAAUAUAUUAAUUCAUCUCACUUUUGAAACCGGGAUGGUAGGGGUAAGGCAAGGGGGUUAGCUUCCUGGAAGAUACUUGGCUGCAUGACAUAGAGGUGAAUACGUGAAGGCAAUUAGGACCCUGCAUGGAGGAAGAAGUGGGGAGUAGAUACAACCAACUGUAUUCACUGUAGAGAAAAAAAUGGAAAGUUUGAAGCGUGUAGUCAAUGGAUCAAAGGCAUGUGCCUAUAAGCCUGAUAUUAAUUCAAGAGAUGUCUGAGCAUUGAUUCAAAGACAGAAGAAAUGAGCAUGUUGAAAGUGCUGUUGAUUGGAUGCUGAACAACAUCAGGGUAAAGGGCAAGGCAGUCAGUGUAGACAUGAAAGUGUCAAAGGGUUGCCUGCCAGCUUGUAGAGAUUACUAAGAGGAGGAGUGAAUUUCCCAAUUGUCAGUGUAGACAAUACUAGACUCUUGGAAAAUGAUGCCUGCUGGAUACUCUGUCAGCAAAGAGGAGAAAACUGUACUUGGUCUUAAAGACACUAAAAAUAGCUUCCUGCUCUUAUUUGAUGGAAAUACAUAUGCACUAAUGGCUACACACUUAAACCUAUCUUAGACAACUUGGGCUUACAAAUAGAUUUACAAACAAAUAGACAAAUGGUCUUUGAGCAUUUAACGAUCUGGGGCAGUGUUCUCUGCCCAAGAGCUGAAUGGAUCUUUGAAAUCCCUAGACCUUUUGGCAAAUGUGAAGCACCAGUGUUGAGAGGCUAACAUUUGGGAGCCAUUUUUCUUUGGAGCUAGAACAGGAGUUUGAAUAAGAUCCAGCCUGAGUCAGCUUCUAAACAAGGAUGAAAUUCAAGUUUACAAAGCUUACUUGCAAGCCUGAAGCAGCUUAUUUAUAUAUUUUUAACAUUGGCCCUAAAAAGAAACAUUGGUCUAUAACUUUGUAAAAUGCUGAGUUGAAUACUCAGCAAAAGCAAACUUAAACUGCUUUAAAACUUGACCUCCAAACAGGGCUGGCAGCAGUGCCAUGGUGACCAUCCAGUAAACAGAGCACCAGGCUACAAGAAAGCAACCCUCUGAAGCCCUCCCUGUGUAGGCAUUAAGGAACUUUUGGCCUUGGACAAGUCACUUCAGUUCUCUAGGUCGGAAGGAGAAGACGGGAUGCCUAAGGCACAAACCAGGAUAAUUGUUGUCUUCAUCUGACUUUAGGGUUGAGGAAUCUGAGUACAGUUAAAUCAUUUGUCAAAUACUGAGUCAGUAGGCCAGGAAUGGCUUGCCUGUCCCUGGCCUCCUAGGCUGGGACUCUGUCUUUCUCCUCUUGUGUUUUCCAGAAUGCAGUGGUAAAUCUGGCUGCGUCUGAUGAAAAGGCCCUCAACUGUCCAUGCCACCCACAGAUGAGUGCGUUUGAAUCUGUAGCUCCCAUCAGAUAAUCCCAGCAUCCAGGAAGGCUUAUCCGACAGACCCCACCUGUCUCGGCGGCUCUGAAGCACAGUCUACAAGCAAGCAUAGGACACAAAGCGUAAUCCCUUACGAUGAACAAAUAUCUCCUCAAACCCUGAACAUGCUCAGAGGAGCAUCACUUGGAUUAGUGGAUUAAAUGCCUUAGCCUAAAUGAUCUGACUGAUUUUCAUUAAGUAAUAAGGGAAAACCUCAGCAGUGAUAGAAAUGUUGCUUUGCAAAUCCAGCUAGGCUUUCUGCAAGAAAGUUCAGAGAUAAGAUAGGAGAUGG